CUCUGUUCCCUCGCAGAUAUAUUGUGUAGCCCUGUAGGAGAUCACAGAGGAUAAUUGAAUCUUUUGGAAAUAAUCAGAGCUUUGGAGGGAGGAAAGAGAAAGAACAGAGGAGGAGGAGAGGAGAAGAGAGGAGAACAGGAGGAGGAGGGGUUACUAAUGAGAAAAUCUCAGUAGGGUAUAUUUCUCUAUCAGUGUUAAGAAGUUCAAGUGAUUCUUCUACUGAAAUUACCUUGAAGCAGAAGGAAGACACCCUCGUCCAUCUCCCCUCUGCGUUGAGACAUGGACACCAGAGAGGCGGAAAGAGGGACGCUGCAGACAGACAUUCAGGACACCCGCGCAAACAUGCUGGACAAAAUAAGACAAUGGCCCAAAACACACCUACAGGCUAUGUAAGGGCUAUUUGACCAAGGAUAGUGAUGGAGUGCUGCAUCAGAUGACCUGGCCUCCACAAUCACCCGACCUCAACCAAAUUGAGAUGGUUUGGGAUGAGUCGAACCACAGAGUGAAGGAAAAGCAGCCAACAAGAGCUCAGCAUAUGCGGGAACUCCUUCAAGACUGUUGGAAAAGCAUUCCUCAGCUGUCAUCAAAGUGGCUACUUUGAAGAAUCGUAAGUCUAAAAUGUGUUUUGAUUUGUUUAACACUUUUUUGGCUACAACGUGUUAUUUCUUGGUUUUGAUGUCUUGGUUUUCUUGGUCUUGGUUUUGAUGUCUUCACUAUUAUUCUACAAUGUAGAAAAUAGUACAAAUAAAGAAAAACCCUGGAUUGA